rnacentral:rRNA from 1 species
GAUGAACGCUAGCGGCAGGCUUAACACAUGCAAGUCGAACGGUAACAGUCCCGCUUGCGGGAGCUGACGAGUGGCGCACGGGUGCGUAACGCGUAUACAACCUGUCCUGUAUAAAGGGAUAGCCACUGGAAACGGUGAUUAAUACCUUAUAAGACUACAGAAACACAUGUUUCAGUAGCCAAAGCUCCGGCGAUACAGGAUGGGCCCGCGUUUGAUUAGUUAGUUGGUGAGGUAAUGGCUCACCAAGGCGACGAUCAAUAGCCGACCUGAGAGGGUGAUCGGCCACACUGGAACUGAGACACGGUCCAG